UAUAUACGGACGAUCAUGCUUUGU
rnacentral:siRNA from 1 species